rnacentral:rRNA from 1 species
AACAAACGCUGGCGGCGUGCCUAAUACAUGCAAGUCGAACGAUGUAGCAAUACAGAGUGGCGCACGGGAGAGUAACACGUGGAUAAUCUUCCCUUUUGUGGGGAAUAACUCACCGAAAGGUGAGCUAAUACCGCAUAAGACCACAACGUCUGUGGACGAAGGGGUUAAAGGUGGAACCACAAGGUCUAUCGCAAAAGGAUGAGUCUGCGCUCGAUUAGCUAGUUGGCGGGGUAAUGGCCCACCAAGGCGACGAUCGAUAGCUGGUCUGAGAGGAUGACCAGCCUCACUGGAACUGAGACACGGUCCAGACUCCUACGGGAGGCAGCAGUAGGGAAUAUUGCACAAUGGGGGAAACCCUGAUGCAGCGACGCCGCGUGAGUGAUGAAGGCCUUCGGGUUGUAAAGCUCUUUAGCAGGGGAAGAUAGUGACGGUACCCUGAGAAUAAGCCCCGGCUAACUCUGUGCCAGCAGCCGCGGUAA